AGAGAUGUGUGAUGACGCAUAUCAAUAAGCGGAGGAAAAGAAACUAACAAGGAUUCCCUUAGUAACGGCGAGUGAAGCGGGAAGAGCUCAAAUUUGAAAUCUUCAAGGUUCUACCUUGACGAAUUGUAGUUUAAUAGAAGUGUUUUCUGUUAGUGGAGUGGCAAAAGUUCUUUGGAAUAGGACAUCAUAGAGGGUGAGAAUCCCGUAUUUGGUACCAUUACCUUCCUAGCUGUUGUGAUACACUUUCAACGAGUCGGAUUGUUUGGGAAUGCAGUCCAAAAUGGGUGGUAAAUUUCAUCUAAAGCUAAAUAUUGGCGAGAGACCGAUAGCGAACAAGUACCGUGAGGGAAAGAUGAAAAGAACUUUGAAAAGAGAGUUAAACAGUACGUGAAAUUGUCAAAAGGGAAGCGUUUGACACCAGUGUUGUUUUUCCGAAAAUCGAUUACGAAUGUUUUAUUUUUGAGGAGUUAUGACUUCAUCGGCUUGCUCCUUUCUUUACGAAACUUUCUUAAUGCACUUUUCGGUUAACAAGUCAACAUCAAUUUCUUUUGUUGUAAAAGGGUACGAGGAAGGUGGCUUUCUUUUCGGAGAAAGUGUUUAUAGCCUUGUACCUCUGCAAUCGGAGAGAUUGAGGUCUGCAGCGUAGAUCCUUCGGGAUUAGAUACAUUUGUGCUAAGUUAUAGCUUUUCAUAGACAACUUGUUGACUAUGUUUAGUCUUGUAGCUUACUCGCUUAUGCUAUUUUACCUACGCUUAGGAUGUUGAAGUCAUCGUAUCGCGC
rnacentral:rRNA from 1 species